GACGAACGCUGGCGGCGUGCUUAACACAUGCAAGUCGAACGGAAAGGCCCUGCUUUUGUGGGGUGCUCGAGUGGCGAACGGGUGAGUAACACGUGAGUAACCUGCCCUUGACUUUGGGAUAACUUCAGGAAACAGGGGCUAAUACCGGAUAGGAGCUCCUGCUGCAUGGUGGGGGUUGGAAAGUUUCGGCGGUUGGGGAUGGACUCGCGGCUUAUCAGCUUGUUGGUGGGGUAGUGGCUUACCAAGGCUUUGACGGGUAGCCGGCCUGAGAGGGUGACCGGCCACAUUGGGACUGAGAUACGGCCCAGACUCCUACGGGAGGCAGCAGUGGGGAAUAUUGCACAAUGGGCGGAAGCCUGAUGCAGCAACGCCGCGUGCGGGAUGACGGCCUUCUGGUUGUAAACCGCUUUCGCCUGUGACGAAGCGUGAGUGACGGUAAUGGGUAAAGAAGCACCGGCUAACUACGUG
rnacentral:rRNA from 1 species